UCUCACAGUCAACGGUACCCACUUUGGAA
rnacentral:piRNA from 1 species